CCUGGGGGGAGUAGAGAAAAAGGACUGCUGAUAUAAACAGUGAAACCUGUUGAACCAGUACCUCAGGGAAAGUAAGAGAUGCUAUCAUCAAUGGUUCCACAGGAAAAAAAGAAAGGAUCUGAAGCUCAGGUUUUGGCAAAUAAAUAUAGACACAAAUACUCUUAAAAGAGAUUCUUGGAAAGGGUGCUUUGGCAAGAUCUGACAAGCUGUCUGCAAAGCCAAACACUGAAAACUAAACUUUCAAAGGAAAACAUUUCAAUGAAAGACAUGGGCUGGAAUUUAUAGCUGUGGAGAGAGCCAGCACAUGGGUGAAGCUGGGCCUUUCUGCCUCUGCAUACCUGUGAGCCUGC